rnacentral:rRNA from 1 species
CACGUAGGGCGCAAGCGUUGUCCGGAAUUAUUGGGCGUAAAGAGCUCGUAGGCGGUCUGUCGCGUCGGCUGUGAAAACCCGGAGCUCAACUCCGGGCCUGCAGUCGAUACGGGCAAACUGGAGUGUUGCAGGGGAGACUGGAAUUCCUGGUGUAGCGGUGAAAUGCGCAGAUAUCAGGAGGAACACCGGUGGCGAAGGCGGGUCUCUGGGCAACAACUGACGCUGAGGAGCGAAAUCGUGGGUAGCGAACAGG